rnacentral:miRNA from 12 species
CAAGCUCGAUUCUAUGGGUCUA